ACCAGACAGUCGCUGUGCACUGCUUCAGUACAUAGAGGAAAGUCCGGGCUCCACAGAGCAGAAUGCCGGCUAACGGCCGGGCGCCGUGAGGCGACGGAAAGUGGCGCAGAAAGCAUGACCGCCGAUGGCUGUGAUUACACAGCACAGGUAAGGGUGAAAUGGUGCGGUAAGAGCGCACCGUACCGUUGGUAACAACGCGUAGCAGGCUAAACCCCAUUCGGAGCAAGACCAAACAGGAUGCCUUGAAGCUGCUCGCCGAGCAUCCGGGUAGGUUGCUUGAGCGCUAUAGUAAUGUAGCGCCCAGAUGAAUGACUGUCCAAGACAGAACCCGGCUUAUCGGUUGCCU
rnacentral:RNase_P_RNA from 1 species